UAGAACGAAAAUGGCCACGUGACAUUUAUUUUCAUAUCUUAUUUUAAGCCAAACAAACGUAAUAUGCCUGUUUUACCAGAGCAUUACCGAAAUGAGGCCAGUUAAUGUUACAAAGUUGCUAGAAGCCCACUUUGUUGGCGUUGUUCUAGUCUUGCAGGAGCGCUGCUCAGCUUUCGUUCAUCUGCUCUGUGACCUGCGGUCAGGAGAGGAGUGCCUGGCUAUGCAAUGGAAAUAAACAGUGUCACGGUCUGCAACAAAGCUCCAUGUCUCCUGUUCAUUCCCACCAAUAAACACAACGUGGAGCUCAGGAGACCUGCACCACCCAGAGCUACAGUGCCUUCAGCAGUGGUUACGUUUACAUUUUGCAUUGAAUUAA